rnacentral:rRNA from 1 species
AUUGAACGCUGGCGGCAGGCCUAACACAUGCAAGUCGAACGAGUGGCGGACGGGUGAGUAAUGUCUGGGAAACUGCCUGAUGGAGGGGGAUAACUACUGGACACGGUAGCUAAUACCGCAUACAAUCAGAUGUGCCCAGAUGGGGUUAGCUAGUUGGUGGGGUAACGGCUCACCAAGGCGACGAUCCCUAGCUGGUCUGAGAGGAGGACCAGCCACACUGGAACUGGGACAUGGUUCAGGCUUCGAAGGGAGGCAGCAGUGGGGAAUAUUGAACAAUGGGCGCAAGCCUGAUGCAGCCAUGCCGCGGGUAUGAAGAAGGCCUUCGGGUUGUAAAGUACUUUCAGCGGGGAGGCGUUACCCGCAGAAGAAGCACCGGCUAACUCCGUGCCAGCAGCCGCGGUAAUUC